rnacentral:rRNA from 1 species
AAGUCGAACGAGAAAGCGGGCUUCGGUCCGUGAGUAAAGUGGCAGACGGGUGAGUAACACGUGGGCAACCUACCCGGAGGUGGGGGAUAACCCUUCGAAAGGAGGGCUAAUACCGCAUGAUACCCCGAGCGCUCCGGAGCUCGAGUUCAGAGCUAGCCUCUGCUUGCAAGCUAGCGCCACCGGAGGGGCCCGCGUCCCAUUAGCUUGUUGGUGAGGUAACGGCUCACCAAGGCGACGAUGGGUAGCCGGCCUGAGAGGGUGAUCGGCCACACUGGAACUGAGACACGGUCCAGACUCCUACGGGAGGCAGCAGUGAGGAAUUUUGCGCAAUGGGCGAAAGCCUGACGCAGCGACGCCGCGUGGAGGACGAAGGUCUUCGGAUCGUAAACUCCUGUCGAGCGGGACGAAUCCUGGACGGAUGAAUAAGCCGUCCAGUUGACGGUACCGCUGGAGGAAGCCCCGGCUAACUCCGUGCCAGCAGCCGCGGUAAUACGGAGGGGGCCAGCGUUGUUCGGAAUUAUUGGGCGUAAAGGGCGCGUAGGCGGCUAAGCAAGUCGGAGGUGAAAGCCCUCGGCUCAACCGAGGAAUUGCCUCCGAUAC